rnacentral:lncRNA from 1 species
GGCUCUGACCUCAUCCUGCUCUGUUUUAGCAGCAUCCAAACUCUCUCAGCUGAGACUCAGUGGACCCCACGGGGCUCUACAAGGGCUUAGAGCAUCUCCACUGCCUUCACUUUUGGAUGGCAGGUGAAAAAGAAGGCUGUGUAGCCAACAUCUAAUACUCCCCAGAGCGUGUCCAGAGCUUGACAGCCUUCAAUAGGUUAAUUUUUCAAAGCGGUAAGCUGAUAUUUCUGCAUAAAAUGCACAUCUGCAGGGUAAAUGCUAUUAAGUGUCAGUGAAUUAUGGUCCCAGAGUACAGAUCACUUGAGCCUUAAUGCUACAAGCAC